UUUGACAGGUGAUAAAUUUUAGCAUGAUCUUUCGAAAUCGAUUUACUUUUGUAAAGUUUGAAAAAUUUCAUGCUAGUCCUAUGUUGAAGUUGAAACGCAAAAUCUGCGAUUUCAGCUGACCUGUCAAUCAAAAUUGCCGCCAUUUUGUAAGUAAGGCCAACUUUUUUUGGGCGAGUUUGCUUUAAAAUGUUCCUUAGGAUGUCCCCUUUAAGAAAAAAUUCGUCCCGUUUGAUCGGCGGGGAGGGGGGGUGCAAUUACUCCUAUUGUCAUAUGCCGGACUAAUAAUACAAUUACAAAAAACUGAAAACUAAAACUUAACCAGAGAAACUUGCAAGAAAAGGUAAAAAGCUGAAAGAAAGCUGAAAAAAUAAAGCUUUUGGCUAUAGCUUUUAGCUUUAAAAAUCCCAAACUCCCUUUGGCUUUCAACUUUCAGCUUUUAGUUUUUGGCUAGCUUUCCAUCCCUGUCAAAAACAUUCCUUGAAGAAAAAAAAUUGGAAAAAAUUGGUGAAUCGCAAAAAAUUGAAUCGCGACAGUGCGAUUCAGCUAAAGUUGUGAAUCGGAUUCAAAUUUUCACGAUUCAUUUUUAUUUUGAAUCCGAUUCUGAAUCCGAUUCUGAAUCGGAUUCAAAAUUGAUCCGCGAUUCAUUUCCGCGAUUCGAAUCGCCCCAUCUCUGACUAUUUACCACAAUUGAUGCGUUGAUCGCUAAUUACUGGAGCUGGACUCGCCAAUACACAGGUCGAAUUUAUCGCUCGGUGACCGGUGUUGUUCAUCGUUGGGUUUUUACCGCUGAUUUUUGGAAAUGGUUUCUUCGGCUUCGCUGUUCGGUAUCUUCGAUUAAUCUUCGGUGGUGCUGACGGUUUCAAGUGCUCGAUGGACUUUCCAAAAUUAGAUCGAUUUUUAUUCGUCGAAUCAUUUGUUUUUUGCUUCCUGCGUUUAAUUAACAGGUGGCGGCAGUGGUAUCACCGGAUGGACGUCUUUUUGGAUCUCUGGUUUUGGCCAACGUUUUGCUGGAUACUCUAUGGCGAAGAUUUGCUUGAAUAAUGGAGGUGAGACAUUUUCUUUAUCGUUCCUACUCAUUUCUUGAUGUUUUGCUAUAGACUUUUCUUCUUUUUUCAGGUGCUGAUCGAACGAAUUCAUCCAUUCAGAAAAAGAAAAUUUUGGUUCUGCAGAUUCCGCCGAUUUACUGCUCGAUGGUACUCUUGGUGUUGGAGGUGGAGCAAUUCGAUUACGGAGUUCGAUACCUGGAGGAAAUGCUCGUGCCGGUGAUGAAGCUUUUACUGUUGUUUUAGGUAUUUUGAAGAUUUUUUUGUAAUUUUUAUUUUUGAAAAAAUACAACUGAGAGUUCGUGGA